AACGAACGCUGGCGGCAUGCCUAACACAUGCAAGUCGAACGAGACCUUCGGGUCUAGUGGCGCACGGGUGCGUAACGCGUGGGAACCUGCCCUUAGGUUCGGAAUAACUCCCCGAAAGGGGUGCUCAUACCGGAUAAUUUCUUCGGACCAAAGAUUUAUCGCCUUUGGAUGGGCCCGCGUUGGAUUAGCUAGUUGGUAGGGUAAAAGCCUACCAAGGCGACGAUCCAUAGCUGGUCUGAGAGGAUGAUCAGCCACACUGGGACUGAGACACGGCCCAGACUCCUACGGGAGGCAGCAGUGGGGAAUAUUGGACAAUGGGCGAAAGGCUGAUCCAGCAAUGCCGCGUGAGUGAUGAAGGCCUUAGGGUUGUAAAGCUCUUUUACCCGGGAUGAUAAUGACAGUACCGGGAGAAUAAGCUCCGGCUAACUCCGUG
rnacentral:rRNA from 1 species